rnacentral:piRNA from 1 species
UGGAAUAUUAAUGUACGGAUUAGAGA